CCCAAAGGGCUGAAAUACCUGCUCCUGCUCCUAUUUUUUUAUGCUCAAUAAAUACUGGGUCUUGCCAGCGACACCCUCAUCCUGUGAAUUCAUAAAAAAAGGAGGAAGAAGAUAAAGAGAGUGAAUCCACUUCCACUAUCUGUGGGUGACUGCAAUCUAUCCCAAUGUAUGGCCACCUCCAGGAAAAUGACAUCAGGGCCCUCACAGCAGGAGGCAUCUUUCCUGCAGACUCAGGGUGCUGCAGUACUGACUCUGAAUUCCACUGCCCCAAGGGAGGGGGGUUGACAAGAUGGGUGAGGUAUUUGUGACCUCUCUCAGGACAUCUGCAUUCUGGAGUCUAAUGUAAAUACACAGCAAUCCCCUCCAUUCAAGCCUCCUUGUAUAAGUGGUAAGAGUAGCAAGCUACAGCUAAAUCGAUCACUGAAGAUGCGCACUUGACUGUUGCACUAAUUGAAUUGACACAAUUUGAUUUUUAGUGCACAUUAAAACCUUUUCACUUUUGCCAUGCUUGUGUGCCCUCUGCUUCCAAGACAAUUUCUGUACCUGGCGUUUAAGCCAUCGGUGUGGAAUUUGGAACAGGUUUUCAAAGUGAAUAGUUAGAGGAUGGCAAAAGCAUAUGUGUCCUAUUUGACUCUGAUAAGUUUCUUCCUACAUGUCCCCUCCAUCACCAAGACAGCCUACUUCCAUUUCCAUACCAUCCACCCCUGCUUCAGCUCAUCCAUACCUUUGUCACCUUCCAAUGCUCUUCUGGCCAGCCUCCCAUCUUCUACCCUCCAUAAACUUCAGCUCAUCCAAAAUUCUGCUGCCCAUGUCUCAACUCGCACCAAGCCCUGUUCAGCCAUCACCCAUUGUGCUCGCUGACCUACAUUGGUUCCCAGUCUGACAACACUUCAAUAUUACAAAUCUCAUCCUUGUUUUCAAAUGACUUCAUGGUCUAAUCUCUCCCAGUCUCUGAAAUCUACAACCCUCCAAACUGGCACUUUUCUAAUUCUGGCGCCUCACUCAUCCCAAUUUUAAUUACUCCAAUAUUGGCAACUGUGCCUUCAGCUGACAAAUCGUUGGAAUUCCCUCCCUAAAUCUCUCUAUCUCUCUCUUCAUGUUGAUUCUUAAAACCUACCUCUGAAUCAAAAGUGUCAGCCUGCAUUACAAGCUCAAGUCUCUGAAUUGGGGCUUGACCCACAACCUCCUGACUCAGAGCCUUCAGUUGCGGGGAACAUGGUCUGCAAACUCUAGCUCCAUACUGACAACUACUAGAAGAUGUGCCUCACAAGUGGACCCAGAGUCACCUGAAGGUUCCGGUCCUUCUUGGCCAUGGCCUUUCACCGACUCUACUCCUCCCAAACACCAGCCCCAAGAUCUCUACUCUAAAAAGGGAGUUAUAUAGUGAAGAAGAGGGGCUGGCACAGGAUUCUGCACAGCAGGAGUUGCUAAAGAAGAAGAUAUUGUUGCCCGACUAUCAGAA